rnacentral:misc_RNA from 1 species
GUCAAAAUCAUCCUCCAAUUUACGCUUCGACCGCUCGGUGCGGUUCUGAUUUUGAUUGUUUUCACCAUCGGCUGCAUCAUCGUCGUCAGGAUUAUCACCAUCAGUGUUCAGAGAAAUGUCGAUGGCGCCCCAAUCGGCGCCAAAGAGAACGGAAGUAGGGCUGACAUGGAGAAGAAUAACAGCAUCACCGGGGCGAAGGUAGUGUUGGACAGCCCAGCGGACUGCAAAAGCACUCUCUUCAGAAAGGUCGACGGCGACGCCUACCUUCCGGCGGGCGCCAGCGGUAGGGGUGGGUGUGGCGGCGGGGGUG